rnacentral:rRNA from 1 species
GUGGGGAAUUUUGGACAAUGGGCGAAAGCCUGAUCCAGCAAUGCCGCGUGCAGGAUGAAGGCCUUCGGGUUGUAAACUGCUUUUGUACGGAACGAAAAGCUUCGGGUUAAUACCCUGGAGUCAUGACGGUACCGUAAGAAUAAGCACCGGCUAACUACGUGCCAGCAGCCGCGGUAAUACGUAGGGUGCAAGCGUUAAUCGGAAUUACUGGGCGUAAAGCGUGCGCAGGCGGUCUUGUAAGACAGAGGUGAAAUCCCCGGGCUCAACCUGGGAACUGCCUUUGUGACUGCAAGGCUGGAGUGCGGCAGAGGGGGAUGGAAUUCCGCGUGUAGCAGUGAAAUGCGUAGAUAUGCGGAGGAACACCGAUGGCGAAGGCAAUCCCCUGGGCCUGCACUGACGCUCAUGCACGAAAGCGUGGGGAGCAAACAGGAUUAGAAACCCGAGUAGUCC